rnacentral:rRNA from 1 species
AUUGAACGCUGGCGGCAUGCCUUACACAUGCAAGUCGAACGGCAGCAUGAUCUAGCUUGCUAGAUUGAUGGCGAGUGGCGAACGGGUGAGUAAUACAUCGGAAUGUGCCCUGUAGGGGGGGAUAACUAGUCGAAAGAUUAGCUAAUACCGCAUACGACCUGAGGGUGAAAGUGGGGGACCGCAAGGCCUCAUGCUAUAGGAGCGGCCGAUGUCUGAUUAGCUAGUUGGUGAGGUAAAGGCUCACCAAGGCGACGAUCAGUAGCUGGUCUGAGAGGACAAUCAGCCACACUUGGGAGGAGACACGGCCGAGACUCCGCCGGGAGGCAGCAGUGGGGAAUUUUGGCCAAUGGGGGCAACCCUUAUCCAGCAAUGCCGCGUGUGUGAAGAAGGCCUUCGGGUUGUAAAGCACUUUUGUCCGGAAAGAAAUCGCACUUACUAAUAUUAGGUGUGGAUGACGGUACCGGAAGAAUAAGGACCGGCUAACUACGUGCCAGCAGCCGCCGUAACAC